AUGGCUACCGCCUUUUGGCUAAAGAUCAAGGUAUCUGUUCUUAUCAGUUUAAUAUCUGGAUACGUCCUCUACCGAGGACUACACAUAUUAAUCUGAUUUUUGGAACAGGGAGCCGGAAGAGGGGCUUGCUCCGUCCGCUUCCACCCUUGUCAUUCCGGUAUUGCGAAAGUGACUCCAGGAACGUGCAAUAUCC